GAUGAACGCUGGCGGCGUGCCUAAUACAUGCAAGUCGAGCGAACAGACGAGGAGCUUGCUCCUCUGACGUUAGCGGCGGACGGGUGAGUAACACGUGGAUAACCUACCUAUAAGACUGGGAUAACUUCGGGAAACCGGAGCUAAUACCGGAUAAUAUAUUGAACCGCAUGGUUCAAUAGUGAAAGACGGUUUUGCUGUCACUUAUAGAUGGAUCCGCGCCGCAUUAGCUAGUUGGUAAGGUAACGGCUUACCAAGGCAACGAUGCGUAGCCGACCUGAGAGGGUGAUCGGCCACACUGGAACUGAGACACGGUCCAGACUCCUACGGGAGGCAGCAGUAGGGAAUCUUCCGCAAUGGGCGAAAGCCUGACGGAGCAACGCCGCGUGAGUGAUGAAGGUCUUCGGAUCGUGAAACUCUGUUAUUAGGGAAGAACAAAUGGGUAAGUAACUAUGCACGUCUUGACGGUACCUAAUCAGAAAGCCACGGCUAACUACGUG
rnacentral:rRNA from 1 species